rnacentral:rRNA from 1 species
GGAGUCCAGCGUGUGCGCGAGUCAUUGGGCACAAAACUAAACCUAAAGGCGAAAUGAAAGUGAAGGCGCGCUUAGCGCGCGCCUAGGGAAGAUGGGCGCUCACGUUUUCGGACGCGCGCCCCGCAUUCCCGGGGCGUCCCUUUUUCAUUGCGAAAAUGGGCGCACCUAGAGCGUACACGCUGGGACCCGAAAGAUGGUGAACUAUGCCUGGUCAGGACGAAGUCAGGGGAAACCCUGAUGGAGGUCCGUAGCGAUUCUGACGUGCAAAUCGAUCGUCGGAACUGGGUAUAGGGGCGAAAGACUAAUCGAACCAUCUAGUAGCUGGUUCCCUCCGAAGUUUCCCUCAGGAUAGCUGGCGCUCAGUGAAGCGAGUUUCAUCCGGUAAAGCGAAUGAUUAGAGGCCUUGGGGACGAAACGUCCUCAACCUAUUCUCAAACUUUAAAUGGGUGAGAACUCCGGCUUUCUUAAAUUGUGCCGUCGUCGCGUCGUCGCGUCCGGUUCCGUUCGCGCGGGCCGGCCGGCGGCGUGUUCGGCGCGCGUUUUUGAAGCCGCGAGUGUUCGAAUCCGAGUGCCAAGUGGGCCAUUUUUGGUAAGCAGAACUGGCGUUGUGGGAUGAACCGAACGCGAAGUUAAAGCGCCCAAGUGGACGCUUAUUAGACACCAUGAAAGGCGUUGGUAACUUAAGACAGCAGGACGGUGGCCAUGGAA